GCCCGCAUAGUUCAAUCGGAUGGAGCACUAGACUCUUAUGGGAAAGCGGAGAAGGCUUUAAGUAUCUGAAGGCUGCGAGCUUGACCCUCGCGGUGGGCU